AAAAACAAGACAGUGGAUCCUUUCUUAAGUUUCUGGCACCAGCAGCAGCAACGGAAAAGGAUAAGGUGCCCCCUCCAAAUGCUGAUGAUGCAGUUCAGUCAACAUCUACCUCCAGUGGGGCGUCAAUAUCUACCUUGAGUGGGGCGUCAACAUCUGCCUCCAGUGGGGCGUCAACAUCUGCCUCCAGUGGGGCGUCAACAUCUGCCUCCAGUGGGACAGCAACAUCUUCUCAUCAUGAAGAUGACACGUCAACCCCUACCUCCAGCAGCACUACCACGACUACAAAAGGUUUGAUCACAUCAGACGACCCUGCACAAUGGCCAAAUGUCCUAAAUGAUAGUGAAAAGUGUGCACUAGUAACAAGAGGACCAAUACAAGAAACAGAUCUAGUCUUUCCGCAGAAUACUGAAAAAACUUCACGUAGAUUUACAAAGGAAAACUAUUCUGGUUUUAAUUGUUCUUUAUAUUUAUAUGUGUGAUUUAUUCGUUUUUGUAUGUCUUUUAUAUUCAUAUUACUAACUAAUAACUAACUUUGAAAAU